GCUUGUCUCAAAGAUUAAGCCAUGCAUGUCUAAGUACAAGCCUCAGUAAGGUGAAACCGCGAAUGGCUCAUUAAAUCACACCUAAUCUACUGGAAAGUUACUAGUUACUUGGAUAACUGAGGUAAUUCUUGAGCUAAUACAUGCGAAAAGACCCGACUUCUGGAAGGGUUGUAUUUAUUAGAUAAAAAACCAAUGGGGGCAACCUCUUUGUGGUGAUUCAUAAUAACUUUGCGAAUCGCAUGGCCUUGUGCCGGCGAUGAAUCAUUCAAAUUUCUGCCCUAUCAACUUUCGAUGGUAAGGUAUUGGCUUACCAUGGUUGCAACGGGUGACGGGGAAUUAGGGUUCGAUUCCGGAGAGGGAGCCUGAGAAAUGGCUACCACAUCCAAGGAAGGCAGCAGG
rnacentral:rRNA from 1 species